rnacentral:rRNA from 1 species
AAUAGAUCCCGGGUAGUCCACGCCGUAAACGAUGAGUGCUAAGUGUUAGGGGGUUUCCGCCCCUUAGUGCUGCAGCUAACGCAUUAAGCACUCCGCCUGGGGAGUACGGUCGCAAGACUGAAACUCAAAGGAAUUGACGGGGGCCCGCACAAGCGGUGGAGCAUGUGGUUUAAUUCGAAGCAACGCGAAGAACCUUACCAGGUCUUGACAUCCCAUUGACCGCUAUGGAGACAUAGCUUUCCCUUCGGGGACAGUGGUGACAGGUGGUGCAUGGUUGUCGUCAGCUCGUGUCGUGAGAUGUUGGGUUAAGUCCCGCAACGAGCGCAACCCUUGUUCUUAGUUGCCAUCAUUUAGUUGGGCACUCUAAGGAGACUGCCGGUGACAAACCGGAGGAAGGUGGGGAUGACGUCAAAUCAUCAUGCCCCUUAUGACCUGGGCUACACACGUGCUACAAUGGACGGUACAAACGGUUGCCAACCCGGCGAGGGGGAGCUAAUCCGGAUAAAACCGUUCUCAGUUCGGAUUGUAGGCUGCAACUCG